GCCAGAGUGGUGUAGUGGUCUAAGUGCUGAAUAAUGUAUCUGGAGGCCAAGGUUCGAAUCCCUGCUCAGUCA